rnacentral:rRNA from 1 species
CCUACGGGAGGCAGCAGUGGGGAAUAUUGCACAAUGGGGGAAACCCUGAUGCAGCGACGCCGCGUGAGCGAAGAAGUAUCUCGGUAUGUAAAGCUCUAUCAGCAGGGAAGAAAAUGACGGUACCUGACUAAGAAGCCCCGGCUAACUACGUGCCAGCAGCCGCGGUAAUCCGUAGGGGGCAAGCGUUAUCCGGAUUUACUGGGGGUAAAGGGAGCGCAGGCGGGGCGGUAAGUCUGAUGUGAAAGCCCGGGGCUCAACCCCGGGACUGCAUUGGAAACUGGCGUGCUGGAGUGGCGGAGGGGCAAGUGGAAUGCCUGGUGUAGCGGUGAAAUGCGUAGAUAUUAGGAGGAACACCAGUGGCGAAGGCAGCAUGCUGGACGACGACUGACGCUGAGGCUCGAAAGCGUGGGGAGCGAACAGGAUUAGAUACCCCAGUAGUC